GUCUAUAGUCAUACUAUCCUGAAUGUGCCAGAUCUCGUCUGAUCUCGGAAGCUAAGCAGGGUCGGGCCUGGUUAGUACUUGGAUGGGAGAUCCUAUGGCUUUGAAAA
rnacentral:rRNA from 1 species